rnacentral:rRNA from 1 species
AUUGAACGCUGGCGGCAGGCCUAACACAUGCAAGUCGAACGAGUGGCGGACGGGUGAGUAAUGUCUGGGAAACUGCCUGAUGGAGGGGGAUAACUACUGGAAACGGUAGCUAAUACCGCAUACCAUCAGAUGGGCCCAGACGGGAUUAGCUUGGUGGUGGGGUAACGGCUCACCAAGGCGACGAUCCCUAGCGGGUCUGAUAGGAUGACCAGCCACACGGGAACUGAGACACGGUCCAGACUCCUACGGGAGGCAGCAGUGGGGAAUAUUACGCAAUGGGCGAAAGCCUGAUGCAGCCAUGCCGCGUGUAUGAAGAAGGCCUUCGGGUUGUAAAGUACUUUCAGCGGGGAGGCGUUACCCGCAGGAGAAGCACCGGCUAACUCCGUGCCAGCAGCCGCGGUAAUUC